GUAUGCUUUUAAUAACAAAGCCCAAGAAAAUUCCAGAAGCCUUCAAAAGGUAUAGAAAACAUCAAAGCCUAAAAUAAAUCUUUAAAAUAAAUCUCACCAGGAGGCUUAUGUUCUUGGUUAACCCAUGAAAUUUAAAAAAAUAUGAUUGUGGUAAAUUCAGAUUCCCAUUCAUUGUUUAUCGUUAUUGUGACUGAUUUCUCAGGUCCCAGUGGCACAUGCAACGGCUAAUGGCGUAGUCCUGUCUCUGGAAGUGGAAAGAGUGGAGCUGACGGUGGCAGCAGUGCUGAGCAGUGAGACGUUCUGAGAGAGUUUCACCUGUGAGGAUGAGGAGAUUCAGCCUUUGUGAAGAGAUCUUGGAUGUUGAAGUAAAAUGUGAUUAUUCGUAUAGAAGUAACAGAGAUCUGGCCAAGGAUGGAGCAACAUCUCUCAAAGGCUGAGAACACUCUCUGGGUUGCACUUCGAUGGCAGCGGCAAAAGGGAUCAGCUGAGAUGGUGGAGUAGAGAGACCCAGAGCUCAUGUCCUCUCACAGACACACCAAUAAUACAACUAUUUAUACAAUAGCCAUUUGAUGAAAAAGGCUGGAUGCUACUAGAA
rnacentral:lncRNA from 1 species